AUUGAACGCUGGCGGCAGGCCUAACACAUGCAAGUCGAGCGGAGCGGCGGACGGGGGAGUAAUGCCUGGGAAUCUGCCUGGUAGUGGGGGAUAACGUCCGGAAACGGGCGCUAAUACCGCAUCCUCUCAGAUGAGCCUAGGUCGGAUUAGCUAGCUGGUGGGGUAAAGGCCUACCAAGGCGACGACCCGUAACUGGUCUGAGAGGAUGAUCAGUCAAACUGGAACUGGAACACGGUCCAGAAUCCUACGGGAGGGAGCAGUUGGGAAUUUUUGACAAUGGGCGAAAGCCUGAACCAGCCAUGCCGCGUGUAUGAAGAAGGUCGUCGGGUUGGAAAAAACUUUAAGUUGGGAGGCGUUUCCCAGAGAAGAAGCACCGGCUAAAUUCGUGCCAGGAGCCGCGGUAAUUC
rnacentral:rRNA from 1 species